CUCAGAACCUACAACAAGGUGAUGUAAGACAUCGACUCCAAGAAAAGGAUGUGAAAUAGCUUUCCUGAGAAGAGAUUUUCUAAAGAUUUCUAUAUGAAAUAGCCUAUGGAUUUCACUUUUUAUGAUAGGAGAUCACAAAGUCAAUAAUACUCUUGGAGUUGAACAGUCAUCUCGAUGAUAUGAUUAAAUUAUUUGAUCAGAAAAGAAGAAUUAUGUGGUUUUCAAAAGGGUC
rnacentral:lncRNA from 1 species